rnacentral:tRNA from 1 species
CAAAACCUGUAAGACUGUGCUCACAUCAUCUGAAUGCAACCCAGACACUUUAAUUAAGCUAAGGCUUU